CUCGGCGGGGGGGGGGGUCCCCUCAGCUUGGAUUGCAAGACAGUGCAGGCCAGGCUGAGGGACCUCACCAGUGCACG
rfam:Myotis brandtii contig157037, whole genome shotgun sequence.